UACGUAGGGUGCAGGCGUUAAUCGGAAUUACUGGGCGUAAAGCGUGCGCAGGCGGUCUUUUAAGUCAGAUGUGAAAUCCCCGGGCUUAACCUGGGAACUGCGUUUGAAACUGAAAGGCUAGAGUGUGGCAGAGGGGGGUGGAAUUCCACGGUGUAGCAGUGAAAUGCGUAGAGAUGUGGAGGAACACCGAUGGCGAAGGCAGCCCCCUGGGCUAACACUGACGCUCGAUGCACGAAAGCGUGGGAGC
rnacentral:rRNA from 1 species